rnacentral:rRNA from 1 species
AGAGUUUGAUCCUGGCUCGGAACGAACGCUGGCGGCGUGCCUCAUACAUGCAAGUCGAGCGAGAACGGUUCCUUCGGGGACUUAUUAAAGCGGCAAACGGGUGAGUAACACGUGGGAAACCUGCCCUCGGGUUUGGGACAAGCUUGCGAAAGCGAGUCUAAUACCGGAUAACGUCAUUUGAUCGCAUGGUUGAAUGACCAAAGUAGUGAUACGCCUGAGGAUGGUCCCGCGCCCCAUUAGCUUGAUGGUAGGGUAAUGGCCUACCAUGGCUGCGAUGGGUAGCCGGCCUGAGAGGGUGAUCGGCCACACUGGGACUGAGAUACGGCCCAGACUCCUACGGGAGGCAGCAGUAGGGAAUAUUGCGCAAUGGUCUAACGGCUGACGCAGCAACGCCGCGUGGAUGACGAAGCUUUUAGGAGUGUAAAAUCCUUUCAGUGGGGAAGAAUGUCUCUUCGGAGGCUUGACGGUACCCACAGAAGAAGCACCGGCUAACUCCGUGCCAGCAGCCGCGGUAAUACGGAGGGUGCAAGCGUUGUUCGGAUUUACUGGGCGUAAAGCGCACGUAGGCGGACUGUCAAGUCGGGUGUGAAAACCAGAGGCUUAACCUCUGGCCUGCACUCGAAACUGAUAGUCUUGAGUACCGGAGAGGAUGGCGGAAUUCCUGGUGUAGCGGUGAAAUGCGUAGAUAUCAGGAAGAACACCGGCGGCGAAGGCGGCCAUCUGGACGGAUACUGACGCUCAGGUGCGAAGGCUAGGGGAGCAAACGGGAUUAGAUACCCUGGUAGUCCUAGCGGUAAACGAUGGGCACUAGGUGUUGGCGGUAUCGACUCCGCCAGUGCCGCAGCUAACGCAUUAAGUGCCCCGCCUGGGGAGUACGGCCGCAAGGUUGAAACUCAAAGGAAUUGACGGGGGCCCGCACAAGCGGUGGAGUAUGUGGUUUAAUUCGACGCAACGCGAAGAACCUUACCUGGGUUUGACAUGUACUGGAAAGCUACAGAGAUGUAGGCCCCUCUUCGGAGGCCAGUACACAGGUGCUGCAUGGCUGUCGUCAGCUCGUGCCGUGAGGUGUUGGGUUAAGUCCCGCAACGAGCGCAACCCUUGUCGUUAGUUGCCAUCAGGUAAUGCUGGGAACUCUAACGAGACUGCCGGUGACAAGCCGGAGGAAGGUGGGGAUGACGUCAAGUCCUCAUGGCCCUUACGUCCAGGGCUACACACGUACUACAAUGGCCGACACAAAAGGUCGCAAUACCGCGAGGUGGAGCCAAUCCUCAAAGUCGGUCUCAGUUCAGAUUGGAGUCUGCAACUCGACUCCAUGAAGGAGGAAUCGCUAGUAAUCGCGUAUCAGCAUGACGCGGUGAAUACGUUCCCGGGCCUUGUACACACCGCCCGUCAAGCCAUGGGAGUUGGGAGUACCCGAAACCGUCGACUUAACCUUCGGGAAAGCGGCGUCUAAGGUAAGAUCAACGACUGGGGCUAAGUCGAAACAAGGUA